AUUGAACGCUGGCGGAAUGCUUUACACAUGCAAGUCGAGCGGCAGCGCGGGGCAACCUGGCGGCGAGCGGCGAACGGGUGAGUAAUGCAUCGGAACGUACCCCGUCGUGGGGAAUAACUACCCGAAAGGGUAGCUAAUACCGCAUACGACCUGAGGGUGAAAGCGGGGGACCGAAAGGCCUCGCGCGAUGGGAGCGGCCGAUGCCGGAUUAGCUAGUUGGUAGGGUAAAGGCCUACCAAGGCGACGAUCCGUAGCUGGUCUGAGAGGACGACCAGCCACACUGGAACUGAGACACGGUCCAGACUCCUACGGGAGGCAGCAGUGGGGAAUUUUGGACAAUGGGCGAAAGCCUGAUCCAGCCAUUCCGCGUGAGUGAAGAA
rnacentral:rRNA from 1 species